ACCAGGAAACCAAGAACCCAGACCAAGGGGUAAGGGAGCAAAGGUGAAAACGGGCCAAGAGAAAAGUCCCCCGGGAGUGCACUGCCAGCAGUCCUCAUGGAAGGAGACUUCCCUUCUAAAAAAUCCCUUUGCUCCUCCUCCUCCUCCUCCAAUUCCUCUCCAGCUCCUGGGGUGCCAGGAAGCCUCCAAUUCAAGCCCAGAGCUCUACAGAAACCUGUGAGGCGUCUGAACUGGACGGGAGCCUCCUCUGACAGACAGGUGGCGGAUGCACGGGAGAGGCCUUGGCCAGGAAUCCAAGCCUGGUUUCUGGCAUGAAAGUAGCAUCCUCCAAGUGUUCUCCAUCUCGAAGUUUCUAUAGAUAGUGUGACUACUUUCACUGUGGCCGCUGCCAAAAUGUGGAGAGCCAGCGUCAACGGCAGCCCCGUAUACAUUGUGAGUGGAGCCGAGGCCGGGCUGCCUGGGGAGGAAAGCGGAGGCAGAGGGCCCAGCGCCGGCCCUCUCUCCUUCGCUGGCCCUGCUGAAGUGCUUGCUCCGAGGUGCCUCCACCGGGGGCUGCGAGGAGAUGAAUUUCCCGGUGAAAUGUUCCCCCAUCAGUCAUGGCUGGGUUUGUAUAUGGAGGCCGAGCCCUCCUCGUCUCCCUCCCCAGCCCACCCCCUCGCCCCCUCAGGCUUCUCCCAUGGUGGCAAACUGAUUUCAAAAAUUCUGAUGAAACACUUUGUAAAUUUUGUUAUUCUGUGAUGAUAAUAAAUCAUUAUAGCCUUAAA